AUGACCAGACCCACUGUGCUUGCUUUGGGCAUGAACAGCCAUGGGGACAUCAACGUGGUGGAGAAGACCCUCUGCAGGAGCCCCAGGUGCCCCCCCGUCCUGAUCUGCCUCCCUCCCUCCAGGAAGGGCGAGAGCUGUGGCUUCGGGCUGAGG